rnacentral:rRNA from 1 species
AUACGUAGGGGGCGAGCGUUGUCCGGAAUGAUUGGGCGUAAAGGGCGCGUAGGCGGCCCGGUAAGUCUGGAGUGAAAGUCCUGUUUUUAAGAUGGGAAUUGCUUUGGAUACUGUCGGGCUUGAGUGCAGGAGAGGUAAGUGGAAUUCCCAGUGUAGCGGUGAAAUGCGUAGAGAAUGGGAGGAACACCAGUGGCGAAGGCGACUUACUGGACUAUAACUGACGCUGAGGCGCGAAAGUGUGGGGAGCAAACAGGACUAGAUACCCCGGUAGUCCACACUGUAAACGAUGAAUGCUAGGUGUAGGGGGUAUCGACCCCUUCUGUGCCGCAGUCAACACAAUAAGCAUUCCGCCUGGGGAGUACGGCAGCAAGGUGGAGCCUCAAAGGAAUUGACGGGG